AACCUGCCCAAGAGAUCGGGAUAACACCUGGAAACAGAUGCUAAUACCGGAUAANAACAGAUGAUGCCUAUCAACUGUUUAAAAGAUGGUUCUGCUAUCACUCUUGGAUGGACCUGCGGUGCAUUAGCUAGUUGGUAGGGUAACGGCCUACCAAGGCGAUGAUGCAUAGCCGAGUUGAGAGACUGAUCGGCCACAUUGGGACUGAGACACGGCCCAAACUCCUACGGGAGGCAGCAGGG
rnacentral:rRNA from 1 species